rnacentral:rRNA from 1 species
AGUUUGAUUAUGGCUCAGGACGAACGCUGGCGGCGCGCCUAACACAUGCAAGUCGAACGGAGGUAUUGAGACGGAAGCUUCGGCGGAAGACUUAAUACUUUAGUGGCGAACGGGUGAGUAACACGUGAGGAACCUGCCUUUAAGAGGGGGAUAACACUUAGAAAUAGGUGCUAAUACCGCAUAAGACCACAGAGCGGCAUCGCUCAGGGGUCAAAGGAGGAAUCCGCUUAAAGAUGGCCUCGCGUCCGAUUAGGUAGUAGGCGGGCAACGGCCCACCUAGCCUGCGAUCGGUAGCCGGACUGAGAGGUUGAACGGCCACAUUGGGACUGAGACACGGCCCAGACUCCUACGGGAGGCAGCAGUGGGGAAUAUUGGGCAAAGUGGGGGAAACCCUGACCCAGCGACGCCGCGUGAGGGAAGAAGGUUUUCGGAUUGUAAACCUCUGUCUUCGGGGACGAUAGUGACGGUACCCGAGGAGGAAGCCACGGCUAACUACGUGCCAGCCGCGGC